GUGGGGAAUCUUGCGCAAUGGGCGAAAGCCUGACGCAGCCAUGCCGCGUGAAUGAUGAAGGUCUUAGGAUUGUAAAAUUCUUUCACCGGGGACGAUAAUGACGGUACCCGGAGAAGAAGCUCCGGCUAACUUCGUGCCAGCAGCCGCGGUAAUACGAAGGGGGCUAGCGUUGCUCGGAAUUACUGGGCGUAAAGGGCGCGUAGGCGGACAGCUUAGUCAGAGGUGAAAGACCAGGGCUCAACCUUGGAAUUGCCUUUGAGACUGGCUGUAUUGAGUUUGGGAGAGGUGAGUGGAACUCCGAGUGUAGAGGUGAAAUUCGUAGAUAUUCGGAAGAACACCAGUGGCGAAGGCGACUCACUGGCCCAAUACUGACGCUGAGGCGCGAAAGCGUGGGGAGCAAACAGGAUUAGAUACCCCAAGUAGUCC
rnacentral:rRNA from 1 species